GUAUUGAUUGCGGGUUAGCGCAUAAAUGAGGUCAUUCUACACUUUUAAAAGGGGGGUUUGUGUGAAAACGUGAGCCCCCGAAAGGGGACCCACGCGGUGGUGCACAUAGGGGUGAGAUGGAUGUUUGAGAACGCUCGGGCGUGCACGACGAAAAAGUCAGCGACAGCCCUCGCGCCUCGGUUUUACGAUAAUGAUCCUUCCGCAGGUUCACCUACGGAAA
rnacentral:misc_RNA from 1 species